AGUACGGUUUUUUUCAAAACCACAAAUUUUGUUGAUAGUUUUAAGU
rfam:Papilio machaon contig68402, whole genome shotgun sequence.